rnacentral:rRNA from 1 species
UACGUAGGGGGCGAGCGUUGUCCGGAUUUAUUGGGCGUAAAGCGCACGUAGGCGGCUUAGCAAGUCGGAAGUGAAAUCCCUCGGCUCAACCAAGGAAGUGCUUUCGAAACUGCUGAGCUUGAGUACUUAAGAGGAUCGCGGAAUUCCCGGUGUAGAGGUGAAAUUCGUAGAUAUCGGGAGGAACACCAGUGGCGAAGGCGGCGAUCUGGGAAGAUACUGACGCUGAGGUGCGAAAGCGUGGGGAGCAAACAGG